rnacentral:rRNA from 1 species
UUGAACGCUGGCGGCAUGCCUUACACAUGCAAGUCGAACGGCAGCGCGGGAGCAAUCCUGGCGGCGAGUGGCGAACGGGUGAGUAAUAUAUCGGAACGUGCCCAGUCGUGGGGGAUAACGUAGCGAAAGUUACGCUAAUACCGCAUACGAUCUACGGAUGAAAGCAGGGGAUCGCAAGACCUUGCGCGAUUGGAGCGGCCGAUAUCAGAUUAGGUAGUUGGUGAGGUAAAGGCUCACCAAGCCAACGAUCUGUAGCUGGUCUGAGAGGACGACCAGCCACACUGGAACUGAGACACGGUCCAGACUCCUACGGGAGGCAGCAGUGGGGAAUUUUGGACAAUGGGCGCAAGCCUGAUCCAGCAAUGCCGCGUGCAGGACGAAGGCCUUCGGGUUGUAAACUGCUUUUGUACGGAACGAAACGGUCUGGGUUAAUACCCUGGGCUAAUGACGGUACCGUAAGAAUAAGCACCGGCUAACUACGU